GGGCCAGUUUAGGUCGCUAGUGUAGGAAAUUACUUGGUGGGGGUUUUAUUCCUGUUAUGAUUUCGUGUUUCAUGUUCCAUGUUUUAUUACGAAUCUGUGUGCUUUCCUAUGCUUUCCUCUGUUUUAUAUUACUUGUGGGUGCCGUAUUUAUGUUAUGUAAUCUGCUUCUGUGCUUUACUAUGUGUUUGUGUGGUAUCUCGUGCCUUGAGCCGGGGGUCU
rnacentral:lncRNA from 1 species